rnacentral:rRNA from 1 species
UGGUCCGGCCGGGCCUUUCCUUCUGGGGAACCUCAUGCCCUUCACUGGGCGUGCUGGGGAACCAGGACUUUUACUUUGAAAAAAUUAAAGUGUUCAAAGCAGGCCUUUGCUCGAAUACAUUAGCAUGGAAUAAUAUAAUAGGACGUGUGGUUCUAUUUUGUUGGUUUCUAGGACCGCCGUAAUGAUUAAUAGGGAUAGUCGGGGGCAUCAGUAUUCAAGCGUCAAAGGUGAAAUUCUUGGAUUGCUUGAAAACUAACUACUGCAAAAGCAUUUGCCAAGGAUGUUUUCAUUAAUCAGUGAACGAAAGUUAGGGGAUAGAAGAUGAUCAGAUACCGUCAUACUCUUAACCAUAAACUAUGCCGACUAGGGAUCGGACGGUGUUAUUAUUUUGACCCGUUCGGCACCUUACGAGAAAUCAAAGUUUUUGGGUUCUGGGGGGAGUAUGGUCGCAAGGCUGAAACUUAAAGAAAUUGAAGGAAGGGCACCACCAGGCGUGGAGCCUGCGGAUUAAUUUGACUCAACACGGGGAAACUCACCAGGUCCAGACACAAUAAGGAUUGACAGAUUGAGA